UGGGGAAUAUUGCACAAUGGGCGCAAGCCUGAUGCAGCCAUGCCGCGUGUGUGAAGAAGGCCUUCGGGUUGUAAAGCACUUUCAGCGAGGAGGAAGGUGGUGAACUUAAUACGUUCAUCAAUUGACGUUACUCGCAGAAGAAGCACCGGCUAACUCCGUGCCAGCAGCCGCGGUAAUACGGAGGGUGCAAGCGUUAAUCGGAAUUACUGGGCGUAAAGCGCACGCAGGCGGUUUGUUAAGUCAGAUGUGAAAUCCCCGGGCUCAACCUGGGAACUGCAUUUGAAACUGGCAAGCUAGAGUCUCGUAGAGGGGGGUAGAAUUCCAGGUGUAGCGGUGAAGUGCGUAGAGAUCUGGAGGAAUACCGGUGGCGAAGGCGGCCCCCUGGACGAAGACUGACGCUCAGGUGCGAAAGCGUGGGGAGCAAAACAGGAUUAGAUACCCUGGUAGUCCACGCUGUAAACGAUGUCGAUUUGGAGGUUGUGCCCUUGAGGCGUGGCUUCCGGAGCUAACGCGUUAAAUCGACCGCCUGGGGAGUACGGCCGCAAGGUUAAAACUUAAAUGAAUUGACGGGGUCAUAGCUGUUUCCUG
rnacentral:rRNA from 1 species